rfam:Lottia gigantea unplaced genomic scaffold LOTGIsca_108, whole genome shotgun sequence.
GUAGGGUAUGGUGAUAUAUACCCUAAAUCUGGACUGGGCUAUAUUGUGGGUGGCUUGUGUGCUAUCAGUGGGGUACUGGUCAUUGCUCUGUCAGUUCCUGUUAUCGUCAAUAAC